UUGGUACUCCCUCUGUCCGGAAAAGCUUGUCGCUCGAAUGGAUGUAUCUAGCACCAAGUUAGUGCUAGAUAUAUCCAUUUGAGAAACAAGCUUGGGACAAGCUUUUUCGGACAGAGGGAGUAUUGA
rnacentral:pre_miRNA from 1 species